rnacentral:rRNA from 1 species
GACGAACGCUGGCGGCGUGCCUAAUACAUGCAAGUCGAACGCAGUGGGGACGGGUGCGUAACACGUGGGUAACCUCCCAUCAGAGGGGAUAACACUUGGACACAGGUGCUAAACCGAUACUGAUGGAUGAACCCGCUGUGCAUUAGCUAGUAGGUGAGGUAACGGCUUACCAAGGCCACGAUGCAUAGCCGACCUGAGAGGGGGAUCGGCCACACUGGGACUGAGAAACGGCCCAGACUCCUACGGGAGGCAGCAGUAGGGAAUCUUCGGCAAUGGACGAAAGUCUGACGGAGCAACGCCGCGUGAGUGAAGAAGGUUUUCGGAUCGUAAAACUCUGUUGUUAGAGAAGCGGUAUCUAACCAGAAAGCCACGGCUAACUACGUGCCAGCAGCCGCGGUAAUAC